rnacentral:rRNA from 1 species
GUAGCAUAAUCACUUGUUCUUUAAAUGAGGACUCGUAUCAACGGCAUCACGAGGGUUAUACUGUCUCCUUUUUCCAAUCAAUGAAACUGAUCUCCCCGUGAAGAAGCGGGGAUACACCUAUAAGACGAGAAGACCCCAUGGAGCUUUAAACCCAACGGCACUCCUAUCUUUACACACCCCCUCACCCAAUAGGACCCUGCACGCUUGGUUUUAGGUUGGGGUGACCGCGGAGAACAAAACAACCUCCACAAUGAAUGGGACCUCCCCUUAUCUAAGAGACACAUCUCUAAGAAUUAGCAAACUAACAUAAAAUGAUCCGAUAUUCGAUCAACGAACCAAGUUACCCUGGGGAUAACAGCGCAAUCUACUUCAAGAGCUCCUAUCGACAAGUAGGUUUACGACCUCGAUGUUGGAUCAGGGUAUCCCAGUGGUGCAGCAGCUACUAACGGUUCGUUUGUUCAACGAUUAAAACCCU